CAACAGGGAUUGCCCUAGUAACGGCGAGUGAAGCGGCAACAGCUCAAAUUUGAAAUCUGGCUUCGGCCCGAGUUGUAAUUUGCAGAGGAUGUUUCUGGCGCGGUGCCUUCCGAGUUCCCUGGAACGGGACGCCAUAGAGGGUGAGAGCCCCGUAUGGUUGGAUACCAAGCCUGUGUGAAACUCCUUCGACGAGUCGAGUAGUUUGGGAAUGCUGCUCAAAAUGGGAGGUAAAUCUCUUCUAAAGCUAAAUAUUGGCCAGAGACCGAUAGCGCACAAGUAGAGUGAUCGAAAGAUGAAAAGCACCUUGAAAAGGGGGUUAAACAGUACGUGAAAUUGUUGAAAGGGAAGCGCUCAUGACCAGACUUGUGCUGGGCAGCUCAUCCGGGGUUCUCCCCGGUGCAUUCUGCCCAGUUCAGGCCAGCAUCGAUUUUUGCUGGGGGAUAAGAACGGUAGGAACGUGGCCCUCCUUCGGGAGGGUGUUAUAGCCUACCGUACGAUACCCUAGCGGAGAUCGAGGUUCGCGCAUCUGCAAGGAUGCUGGCGUAAUGGUCAUCAGCGACCCGUCUUGAAACACGGACCAAGGAGUCGUCCAUUAGAGCGAGCGUUUGGGUGUAAAACCCGCACGCGUAAUGAAAGUGAAAUUAGGUGAGAGCUUCGGCGCAUCAUCGACCGAUCCUGAUGUUCUCGGAUGGAUUUGAGUAAGAGUUUUAACGGACGGACCCGAAAGACAGUGAACUAUGCUUGUAUAGGGUGAAGCCAGAGGAAACUCUGGUGGAGGCUCGCAGCGGUUCUGACGUGCAAAUCGAUCGUCAAAUAUGAGCAUGGGGGCGAAAGACUAAUCGAACUC
rnacentral:rRNA from 1 species